rnacentral:rRNA from 1 species
UCACUCUGGGAUGGACCUGCGGUGCAUUAGCUAGUUGGUAAGGUAACGGCUUACCAAGGCGAUGAUGCAUAGCCGAGUUGAGAGACUGAUCGGCCACAAUGGAACUGAGACACGGUCCAUACUCCUACGGGAGGCAGCAGUAGGGAAUCUUCCACAAUGGGCGCAAGCCUGAUGGAGCAACACCGCGUGAGUGAAGAAGGGUUUCGGCUCGUAAAGCUCUGUUGUUGGAGAAGAACGUGCGUGAGAGUAACUGUUCACGCAGUGACGGUAUCCAACCAGAAAGUCACGGCUAACUACGUGCCAGCAGCCGCGGUAAUACGUAGGUGGCAAGCGUUAUCCGGAUUUAUUGGGCGUAAAGCGAGCGCAGGCGGUUGCUUAGGUCUGAUGUGAAAGCCUUCGGCUUAACCGAAGAAGUGCAUCGGAAACCGGGCGACUUGAGUGCAGAAGAGGACAGUGGAACUCCAUGUGUAGCGGUGGAAUGCGUAGAUAUAUGGAAGAACACCAGUGGCGAAGGCGGCUGUCUGGUCUGCAACUGACGCUGAGGCUCGAAAGCAUGGGUAGCGAACAGGAUUAGAUACCCUGGUAGUCCAUGCCGUAAACGAUGAGUGCUAGGUGUUGGAGGGUUUCCGCCCUUCAGUGCC